UGAAUGUUGUUAUUUACCUGUAAGUUCUUUAUCCUUAUUUUUUUUUGCUCUGUCUGCAGGUUAAGUGACCAGCCUAAGGUAAGAGCCAGAUUUGGAGCUUGGAAUCUGUUAGUCCUUAGGGUGCUUUAUUCCCUGAGCCAAUCCACACUUCUACCUCUGGAAGGGAAUCAAUUGAGGGCUCAGCUUUUCCUCCGCAAGAAACCUGCUCUCCCGGAUAGGCUGUGAAGAAUUACCUAGAGGCAAGACAAGAGCUCAUUAAUUAAAUAUUUCCGCACUGGACACUCAUCUGCCUGACAGUUCUCUCAUUAUGUGCCCCUGAGAGGGGGGCUGGUUGUCAGCAGCUGAUGUAAAGUAAUUUUCUCGCCGUUAUAACUACAUGAGCAAAGUCUUGAUAGCAGUUCUUCAUGUCUGUUAGGUAAAUCAUUUGAGGGAAAAAUGGUUUUGUGCUGAAGGGAGGUCAAAACAUCUCAUGCAAAAUCUUAAAUAAUUUGUUUUUUAAAAUAAGAAAAAAAUGGACUUUCUCUAAAUAUAAGAAUCUUUUUUAAAAAAUAUAUAUUUCAUUGCACUUUAGGUUCUGGGAUACAUGUGAAUAACAUACAGGAUUGUUGCAUAGGUAG
rnacentral:lncRNA from 1 species